ACGGGAGGCAGCAGUGGGGAAUAUUGCACAAUGGGGGAAACCCUGAUGCAGCGACGCCGCGUGAAGGAAGAAGUAUCUCGGUAUGUAAACUUCUAUCAGCAGGGAAGAUAAUGACGGUACCUGACUAAGAAGCCCCGGCUAACUACGUGCCAGCAGCCGCGGUAAUACGUAGGGGGCAAGCGUUAUCCGGAUUUACUGGGUGUAAAGGGAGCGUAGACGGAGUGGCAAGUCUGAUGUGAAAGGCAUGGGCUCAACCUGUGGACUGCAUUGGAAACUGUCAUUCUUGAGUGCCGGAGGGGUAAGCGGAAUUCCUAGUGUAGCGGUGAAAUGCGUAGAUAUUAGGAGGAACAUCAGUGGCGAAGGCGGCUUACUGGGCUUUAACUGACGCUGAGGCUCGAAAGCGUGGGGAGCAAACAGGAUUAGAUACCCUGGUA
rnacentral:rRNA from 1 species